AAAAAAAAAAAAAAAAGAGCCUUUUAUAACCCAUAAAACCAACAUAUCACAUUCCCUCAACACAGCUUAAAUUAACCAAAUAUCCCACUCGAAUUGCAUAUAAAAAAACAUUCAAGGGGAUCAGAAAUGCAACUAUACCAUCAGGCACAAUAACAUUAAUAAGAUAUCCAACACAUGUGAAACACACUGCAACACGUACACGUUGAAAGGAAAAUAUUCAAUCAUGUAUGAAUUAACUCAAAACCUUGUAUCCUCUUUAGAUCAGAAAUCAUGGCUUGAGGCCUGAGUACUUCCUGCCUGUGCAAACCCUUGUUUCCCAAUAAUAAACUUUCUCCUAUCGUGUACCACGCAGAUAGAAAUCAUUGCCUCUUGCUCUGGUGUAGUCACCA
rnacentral:misc_RNA from 1 species